AGGAGGCGUUAUAGGGAGAGGUUAUAUGGAGUAAUAGAAGGAGUUAUAGAGAGAGGUUAUAUGGAGUAAUAGGAGGAGUUAUAGAGAGAGGUUAUAUGGAGUAAUAGGAGGAGUUAUAGGGAGAGGUUAUAGGGAGUAAUAGGAGGAGUUAUAGAGAGGUUAUAUGGAGUAAUAGGAGGAGUUAUAGAGAGAGGUUAUAUGGUGUAAUAGGAGGAGUUAUAGAGAGAGGUUAUAUGGAGUAAUAGGAGGAGUUAUAGCGAGAGGCUAUAUGGAGUAAUAGGAAGAGUUAUAGGGAGAGGUUAUAUGGAGUAAUAGGAGGCGUUAUAGGGAGAGGUUAUAUGGAGUAAUAGGAGGAGUUAUAGAGAGGUUAUAUGGAGUAAUAGGAGGAGUUAUAGGGAGAGGAUAUAUGGACUAAUAGGAGGGGUUAUAGGGAGAGGAUAUAUG